GAGAGCUGUACAAUCCCUUAUCCCGUUACAGCCUGGCCCCAGCACAGCCUCUCAGACAAUACAGCAGCAGCAGCAGCAACACCACAGCACCCCCACUGACCCAGGUGUCAAAUCCCACAGGAGCCAGACCACAGCAUAGACAACACUGUACCAGCUAGCACCUGGGAGUAUUUUGUUAAUAUAGGUUUACAGGAAAGUACCUGAAAAUAACAGUCUAACAGUAAAUCUUCGCCAAAGCUUCUCUCAUGGAAGCUAAAAUAAAAUGCUUGUAUUUUAUGUGGUGUUACAAUGUUGUGAUUGGCUGCUGCUGAGUGAGACACACUGGGAGUUGUGGUCCAUGACCAUGAUGACACAAUCCCUGGGUCUGGUCUCCGAUUGCACGCCACGCUGGGGUUGGAUGAAAUCUCAGGUGACUGAUGGGUGGCUAUCCAAUGGCAGUGGUGUCUGUUGUAGAGAUAGGGGUGGCCCAGAUUUGUUAUGAAGGAUUUUCCAUUACUGUGCUAAGUGUUGAUGCCAUGACGGCUGCCUAGCAGCUCAGUAGGGCCUCUCAGGUCAGGUAAAGGCUCAGUGUGUCUCAAAGGUGGUGUGUACUCGUAGCACCUGAAUGUUGAUGUUCAAAUGUUUUAUGUACUUGUAAUUAUUACUGAAACCCUUAAAGGCAUUUCGCUGAAACUGGUUUCAAAGACGAGCUUGCUAACCCUAGUAAACUCUUUUACACCUUCUCCUCCCUCCUUAAUCCUCCCCCUCCCUCCUUCCUCUCUGUGGACAACUUUGUCAACCACUUUAAAAAGAAGAUUGACGACAUCCGCUCUUCAUUCACUCAGCUUAUUGAGUCCACUGGUCGCACUCACACAGAACUACCCUACGCUUUGACCUCUUUCUCCCCUCUCUCUACAGAUGAAAUCCUGUUACUAGUGAGGUCAGGCCACCCAACAACCUGCCCGCUUGAUCCUAUUCCCUCCUCCCUUAUCCAGACAAUCUCUGGAAACCUUCUCCCAUUCCUCACUUCCCUCAUCAACACAUCCUUGACCACUGUCGCACCCCUCCUCAAGAAACCAACACUUGAUCCCUCUAUCGUCAAAAACUACAGACUGUUUCCUAGAUCUAUCCGCUGCCUUCGAAACCGUGAACCAUCAGAUCCUUGGCAGUCUACUCCUACCAGGUGGUGAUAAGCAUCUCUGCACCACCUCAAUCGCAAUCUCAACAAGACGGAACUGAUCUUCCUCCUGGGGAAGGCCUGCCCUCUCCACGACCUCGCCAUCGCGGUUGACAACUCUACGCUGUCCCUCUUCCAGAGUGCAAAGAACCGUGGCAUGACCCUGGACUACACCCUGUCGUUCUCUGCAAACAUAAAAAAAGCUCACGUUCACUACAAUACCAUGGUACUUGCCUAUGGAGCAGCAAGAUGAACUGCCACUCCAUACCUUCAGGCUCUGCUCAAGGGAGGGCAACUCCAACAGUCCAGUCCAAACUUUUCUCUGUCUUGGGACCCCAAGGACAUCAGAUACGCUGCCCCGCUUCUGAAAACUUCUGAAACCCUACAUCUUCAAAGAGUAUCUUAAAUAAUCCCACAGCACCCCCCAUCGCACCCCUUCCUCACACCUCCCCCACCAAAAAUACUUAAAUAAAUAAUAAUAAUAAAUAAAGUAUUUAGUGAACUAACACUCACUUAGCUCUGAAAUGUUUUUUUUUAAUGUACUUUUACCCCCUUUUCUCCACAAUUUUGUGAUGUCCAAUUGCUAGUUACAGUCUUGUCCCAUCGCUGCAACUCCCCUACAGACUCGGGAGAGAUGAAGGUUGAGAGCCAUGCGUCAGCCAAACCACGACCCUGGCAAGCCGCACUGCUUCUUGACACACUGCUGCCUUAACCCGGAAGCCAGCUGCACCCAAUGUGUCGGAGGAAACAUUGUCCAACUGGCGACCAAAGUCAGUUUGCAGGCACCCGGCCCGCCACAAGAAGUCCCUAGAGUGUGAUGGAACAAGGAAAUCCCGGCCGGCCAAACCCUCCCCUAACCCGGACAA